CUAUAAACAUUCAAGGUCGAUGUAGUAUGGAUAGACUCGAUCUCACGGUAUAUAUAUUACUGUAUAAAUAUUACGUAUGCACGUGAUAUGUGUUAUGUAUCUGAUAUCUCAUCCAGUAUACCUAUAACGUACUUUUCAAGUAACACGUAAAAUUCCCGAGCGCCCAGUCAGCCAAUGUGGCAGCUGUACAGCUGCAUAUGUGAAGCAGUGAGCCAUCUGGUGUCAAAUUUUGGCAGCCUCCGGACCCGACCCUGUCAUGGCGUCCAACAACAGUUAGUGUAACGAAUUCAUCCCGAGAUGCAUAUACAUUACACAUAUGCAACCAUAAGCAGACAAUUAUUAUUGUUGUUGUUUAGCUUCUGGUUCACGUAAACCUUGAAACGAAGUGUGCUACCAGAUGGGAAUUUAUGGUGGAACUCGGUGGUGCGCAUGCGCGAAACUUAUUUGUACACGUGCGCUUUGAAUGAAGUCACGGCGAUUAAAUUCACAUGAUUUUCGACAAAAAUAACGCUGCGAACCUGUGAGCUCCGAUUUACGAGAUGACGGCUGUGUAAUUGACAGCUGGUUAAAUCGAUGUAUUGUUAUUGUGAAGUAACGGGAAUUUGGCGGAAUUAGGUUUAGGUAGAAGGGGAUGAUUUAUUUUACGUCUGCCGACGUUUUCGCUCAAUUUUCAACGAAAUUUCCACGUUGCUCUUAUUUCACACUAUUGUGCCAUACGUUGAAUGGGGAAGCAGGAAACAAUUUUUUAAAAAUCGAAACAAGGGACAACUAAGUGAAAACGACGAAAAAAAAAGGAAAAAGAAAAAAAAUUUUGAAAUCACCCGGAGUCGAACCAGAGUCGAGGAAACUGCGCAAUGUACAUACAAUGAAAAAUAAGAAGACGACCAAUUCAUGAAUAUCUUGUCGUCAAUGUUCAACCAAGAGGAUCCACGAGGACUGGGCAGCCGCUUGGCUCGGGGAGGCUCGUUAAGAGGCGAGAAAUCACGGGAAGGUCGAAGGUCGCUGGAAGAUAGGAAAGUGCGGAGGGUGGAUGAAAAGAGAUGACUGGGAGUCUCUCCCGGUAGGUUGUAAGUUGUAGGACGAAGGUUAUACGUAUAGCGGAUAGUAGUUACUAGGUUAGGUUAGGUUAAGUUACAGUUAGAUAGUUCAAGUAGAAUCUAUAGGAACACGGGGGAGGCUGCGAGGGUGAAGGUAAAUGAGAAGUCGAAGGUGGAAUCUAACCUAACCUUCUUCGAAACAUAAAUAACCUUCUAUACUAGGUGAGCUGAAACUAACUGGAAUCAGAUACAAGUUUGAAGAUUCCUGCACCGAGACUGUGUCGUCACAGUUGUCACAUGACGUGGUACGGACUACUUCAAUUAGCACGAAGCUUGAGCUUAAUUAAUGAGGAUGCGAAAAUGAAGAUGAUACGUCGAUGGUGAGACCUAACCUUGACUGAAACGUAAAUACAGGCUGCGUUACGUAAAGCGGAACGAAUUUAAAUCGGACAGAAGUUUCCAAGUGUCUCGCGAGCUUGUCAUCAGAUUUGCUGUAUAACUUGUUCGAACUAUUUUAAUUAUCAGAGAUGAAGUUUCCGAGUAACGAAGUGGGGAGAAUUGAGAUAAGGGAUGUUUUUGGUGAAACCUGGAAUUGCGUGAGGAGAAUCCAAACGGAGUAUCGGAGUAUAUGUAUUGUAUAUGACGCGAUUUCCGUAUAUUGGUCACGUGAGGUUAUUUUGAAUAUCGUGUAAUUAUUGAUUUCCUUAAAAUUGAAAUAGGACGAAGAUAAUAUUUUUGGGAGACGGAGAUGAAAAAUUGCAAUAAAUCUGCCUAAGACGAUAAGCUCGUGCGAUUUCAUGGAAUUGUUUGAGGGACUUUAAGGAAUUCAAAAAGAUAUAAUAAAUUUUGGCUACGGGUUAAAUUUGGCAAAAGACAAAAUGGCGUCGCGAGCCCUGUGGCUUCGUCUAAAUGCAAAACGUAUCCUUGGGUAAGGAUUAGGCGAGCUUAGGCUACGAAAAUCUGAAUGCCUCAGCCUCUAAGAAGGUACGACUUUGGUAUAUGUAUACUGGGGUAUAGGGUGUGUGGUAUAGUGUAUUUCACUGUGCAGGAAAGUGUAUGUACAUGCAAUGUAGGUAUGUACAGGGCUGUUACGAUGGAGUACGGUGACGAUGGGUUUGCUUUUGUGUUACGAAAAUUAAGCCGAAACUUCUUAAUGAAUUUCAGUAAAAGGACAAUGGGCUGAGACAUUGCGCGUUUCGCGGGUUAAUGGAUUUCACUGUCUUAUCAUUCUUAUCUACGAGUAAUUCAAAGCUCCUCCGCGAGGCUUACUAUGAAGUUGGAGUCUGUUGAAAUUUUGUAAUAUUUACUCGAACUUCGCUGCACCAGUUACUUGUACAGUGGAACAAUUUUCAAAAUUCACAUACACCGUCGAAACAUUGUUCGCGCACUUGGAUGCACGCAAAUAUAUGUAUGUGCCAUUAUACACGUGUCCUACGUAAAUAGUAAGACGCAAGGGUGCAUAUAUU